rnacentral:lncRNA from 1 species
CCAACUAUUUGAAAAUUCAAAAUUCAAAUUCUAUAGCGUAGAGAAACUUGAAAAUUUCGAAUUUAGAUCCAAAAAAACACAGUGAAAACCCAAAAAUUUUCUGUUAAGAAAUAGAUAGUUUAAAUACAAAGCAUUAGAUCCUACAAAUCCAAAAAGAAAAUCCUGAAAAUCAACAAAAGAUGGUGCAGAAAUCAUUUCCAGAUCAGUUGUUUAUUUAGUUGCACUGGUUCAACAAGUUUGGUCUUCAGAUUCAAUUGGUUAUUAGUAAGUGGAAGCUGUUUUGGAAUUUGCUGCAUUGUAUCUGGUUUCUCCUGGGUAUAAAGCUUGGCAUCUGCUGAGAUCUGCUAGAUUUUAACUUGCUGUUGCGUGCCUGUUUAGAUGACCUCUAUUUUUCCUCAUUUUGUUCUAAAUUCCAGGUACGAUCCCUCAACGUUGGUGACAUAGUAUGUGAUUCCAGAUUUGAAAUGAAGCUCAGUUGCUGUCUUCAAUUUUGUUUUAUGCCAGUUACAUCUCUUCUGUUACUUGCAUUUACUCGUAUGUAUUAGCUUAGCCAAACUCUGUUUAAGUAGUUAAGUUUCUCAUGCUGUACUUAAACACGAACUCUGAAAACUGUGAUGUAUUUGGAUCCUGUGGUUUGUGUUGUUUAAUGUUACAAAGUUGAUAGCUGUGUAACAAUUCGUUCAGACUGUAGUUAAUCGAGUUA